rnacentral:rRNA from 1 species
UAACGCGUAGGUAACCUGCCUGGUAGCGGGGGAUAACUAUUGGAAACGAUAGCUAAUACCGCAUAAGAGUAGAUGUUGCAUGACAUUUGCUUAAAAGGUGCAAUUGCAUCACUACCAGAUGGACCUGCGUUGUAUUAGCUAGUUGGUGGGGUAACGGCUCACCAAGGCGACGAUCGGUAGCCGGACUGAGAGGUUGAACGGCCACAUUGGGACUGAGACACGGCCCAG